rnacentral:tRNA from 1 species
GGGCGGGUAGCUCAGGACGGAUAGAGCAUCACCCUCCUAAGGUGGGGGUCGUGGGUUCAAAUCCCACCCCGCCCG